ensembl:lncRNA
CAGCAGGGCCCUGGUUCAUGUGGGAAAGUCAGUGCCUGGCCCAGAAUGAGGAAUUUCCAGCACCUGGGGAUGUUUCGGGGACCAGCUGGAAGGCCCCGUAUUUGGGUAUAUUGCUCCCAUUGUGGAUAGGUGCUCCCUUUCUCUGGGUUUUUGUUGGCAUUUCUCUCAAGAAACAAUACUGAACAUGGAAAUACCGCACGGUGUGUGAUGAUUUCCAGCCUCCAAAGGUCUCAGUCAAUCCAUACUUUUUAAAAACGCUUUGCGCUAUCUUGCGCUAUACUGUUGUGUGAGGAAGUUCGGGAGUGAGAAUGGGAGGGUCUACGCUCCGGAUUUGAAGACUGAAGAGAUCUCCGCCAUGGCGGAGUUCCCCCUGGGCGGUCGGGGACCCAGGGAAAGGUCACCUUUUAACUAUUUCCUCAGCCCCCGGGGUGUCACACAGUGGGAACAGCGAAAAACUAAGCUGGCUUUUCACACUGGGAAUCUCAGAAUGUCGGAGAACCUGAGCUUGAGUUUCCCUCAACUGUUGAGGCGCCGGUUGAUCCCAAGGAGAGUCGGGCGCCGUCUGCUGGCCGUUGGUGAAACGGCAAAUGAAGCCGUGCCUCGCGGUUAAGGGAUUGGCCGCGCUCUCCUCUGUGCAUUCCUGAAAUGAAGGAUAUUUGCAAGGAUUGGUUCUCUGCUGAUGGCCAGGGGGAUGCUUUGACCCAGCCAGGCUUAUUCUCCAUCAUCACGAGAAGAGUAAAGCAAAAUGGAGAGGGUGUCUGUGGAGUCGAGGGGAGCUGUUCUAAGGAUUCAUCAGAUCAGGUCAUCGAAGAUGUGAUCAAAGGCUGGUCGCAGAAACGAGCCGGAACAGUCGGAGGCGAGCUUCCCUUUGCCACCAGCAAAGAAGCAGGUCUCAACAAUCUACUUGAUUCCACUAGACCACCCCGAGAGGAUGCGCGCACAGCUUCGUCCACCACUCAGUAACGGCCAGCAGAGGGCGUCUCAACUGACGCAGUAAACACCCGCAGCCAGGGUCCCUGCGCCGAGGCACCGCUUCCGGGGUGAGAAAACCAUCCCUAGUAUGUCGCUGCACCAGUUGUGCGACGCUCUGUGGGCUGCAGAAAUACAAUGCUUACAUGGCCCUUCCAUGGCGGUUAGCAGACAACAAGGAUGUGCUGGUGUCAGAAGCUUCGCUGGGAUGGUGGUGAGUCCCUCAUCUGGGCUGAGCAGUGGUCCAGACCGAGGCCAGAGGAGCUGCCCUUGUUACAGAGGGCGGGCCCACCUGGAACGCGAGCUGUGCCUGUCCCUGAAGGUCUCUCCAGGCUGUGUCCAGAUGGAAAACCACAGGGGCGCCCCCACCCUGAAGGCCAGUCGUUGGCAGCAAGGACAGGCUCCCGCAGGAUGUCACGAAGAGCAGUGUUAGGGAGGGCACGGGAUCCUCCAGCCUGAAGACCUCCCUGCAAGCACUGACUUGAUGCUCCGAGGAAGGAACCAGGGGCACCUGGUCAGGAUGGAGCCCUGUCCUCCGUGUCCUUGUCUCUCACCAGCGGGGGAUUUGGCCACCUAAAACUCUGCUCUCUCUCCACCUCAUUUUCCCAAGUGCGGUGGGACUACAAGGGGAACGUCUUCACCACUGACAGCUUGGGGUCCUUUGGACCUAUGAUCAGGCCAUCCAGCCAGUGUGAAGAUGGUGUGGGGCAGGAGUCCCUCCCUGAAGAUACACUCUCAGUGGGGAGACCUCAUUGUCAAGGUCAAGAUAAGCCACAGAUGAGGCAGAUACUUCCUCAGACCCUGGCUUGAUUCUAGGACCUGAGCCGUUAGCCCAGGAUCCAGCGACGCAUCUAAGCUUCUCUGGAUCUUGUUCCUGUUGCAGACAGCCUUGUGGGGCGGGGAUGGCUGGGAGACGAGCCCCGAGCACAGGUCUAGUGUUGUGUCCCCAGCUCUGAGGGAAGUCCCCACUUGUGGCUGGAAGGUCACCUGAUCUGCUUGGGGGCAGGUUGAGAUCUUUGUGAAGCUGUCAGUGUACCGCUUAUCUCCCCUCUCCGUUUUGCUAAAAAGAGGCUCCUGCCCCCUUGUAGGGAGAGGAAGAGGAGCAGGGCUUUCUGCUGGCCCCCUCCAGCUGCACCCUAGGGUGUGGAGCUCACGCAGGCAGCCCAUGAUCACUUCAAAGUAGUCAGCCCCUGUGCCAGGCACCCCAGGCUUCCCAGAUGCCCCUCUGGAGCUCUGAGAGGAAGGGAGGUUUGGGAACCUUAAACGGGCUGCCUGUCCCCUCAGCCGCUUCCCUGUGUGCUCACACUGCCCAGACCGGAGCUGGGGGUCUCGUCCCUUCUGUGCUGGUGGCCCGAGGGUGGAGGAGGGCCCGCUGUGACGUCCUCACAGGACCUUGACCCCUAGCCGUGUGAAUUGCAGGUGCUGAGGGAACAGGACAAAGUCUGGUUUAUCUAUGUCUUUGGGUAGAGUCUGAUACUUCUCACCAGUAGAAGCUUCCAAUGUUAUGUAACAUUUUCAUGAAUCCUUCCAUACAUUUAAUAAGAACCAGUGAAAUUUACAGUCACUGGACCUCCGAGCAGGUGCAGUGAGGAGGCCUAGAAACGGGCGGUGUGAAGGGCCCCUGUCACUACCCCCACGAUCCAGUGUGAGGACCCAAAGUAGAUUCUCAGGAAGGCUGAAGAGGCCCCUUCCAGGCUCUGAGCCCCCAGCCCCAAUACCCUAAACCUCUAGCCCCAACCUGAGCCCAGGCAGGGCACAGCACAGGCAUAUUCGGAGAAACAAAUACUUCCUCACCUCCCUGUUCAUGGUCAUGGGGACACUCCUCUUCAAAGGAUAACUGGCCCAGCCCUCUAAAUGGAGCAGAUGGUAUUCUGGAGGCUCGGCCUCUGGAGGAAUGAGGGGUGGGGGGAGGAAGAUUCCAUGCUGGUGAUUGAAACCUCCCCCAGAUCCAGGAGGCAAAGCUGGAGUGGCCAGGGGCUUGGUGGCCGCGGCCCUUUGCUCAUGGAGGCAGCUGAUUCCUAAGAGUGUGAUUUUUGCACACAGCCUGACCUGUCUUGGUUUGGACCAUGGCUCUUUUUGAUCUUUCCCUCUUCUCAGUGGAUGAAGAGCCUAAAAAAGAAUUUCAGUUUGUAUUUACUUUACCCUUGGACAGAACCUGUAGUAGAACCAGGGCUGGGCCCAGGGGUCUCUGCUGACUCUGAGUCUGGUCCCAGAACCUCUUCUCUGGGAGGCAGGAGGCCAUGGGGAGCAGAAGGCGGUUCCCUCCAACACAGGUGUUGACCCCGGAGCCUCACGGUUCUCACCAUUCAUGUCCUUGUCUUAACCUUCCUUGUGCAGAUUUGGGGAUCGUGACCUUGAGGCUGCUCUAGUCUGCAGAUGUGGAUUUGAGGUCCUGUCCUGUUUAGGGAAGGAGGGAGCCUCGUAAUCACAAGAUCUUUGUUUAUUGGUUCUGCCCUGGGCUUGAGUACAUCCUUGAGAAGACUUUUCUCAUUGCAUUAGCUCCACAAGCUACCCCAGUUUUGUACUUUAGCAUCCGAUCCAUGAUUAACUUGUUCCUCAGGUUUUAACACCCACCUUGUCUUGGAAACACCUCUGAUUCUGGUGGGCCUGGCUCUGCACAGAGUCAGACACAUUCUUGGCUCCAUGAUGUGCAUCUUCUGGAUCCCACCCCACCCCCCAAAUUCCAGCUGAGAAGCCCCUGGACAAGAGCUCAAGUAUUUGGAAGGUGCCCUUCAGUCAGUCCGGAGUCAGGCAGGGGCGUGUUGUUCCCAGGACCCUCUUCUCAUCCCCUGUCCUGCACCAGGCUCUCUUCCUCCUGAGGCGGGAGUGCUGAGUCCUGCUUCUCUUCUUUGAUCCACUCCUGCUGAGGGUCUCCUGGGGUCUCUCUCUCUCAAAUUUGUGAUAGAUUCUUGUCCUGUUUGCUGUCCUCCCCACACAUAGGCACCUCUGGGAGCCUGGAGCAAUAUGAGGGUCCCUGUCCUGUCCAUGUGACCCAUUUAAGUGUUGGAAUAACUGAGAUGGGGACAUGUUUGUGAGAACGUGGACCCACAGAGAGUGUGGGGUCAGGUGAGGAGAGAGGCCCCAGAGAUCAAGUGGAUGUUAACGCAGUCUCCAUUUCAGAAUCUGGCUGUGGUCUGGGGUGGAAGGGAACAGGCAGGUGUGGGGUGACAGGUGGUCCUCGAUCAGCGUGGCCUCAGUGGGAAGGCUGGAUCUGGGCAGAGCUGCUCCCCUGGUGGAGGUGAUGACUCAGUGAGGGGGCGGGUGGGCAGGGAGCUGGAUGGUAGAGCAAGUGAGGAUGCUGUGGGUGCAAGGGGACACACACGGAGCCCACUCCCCCUGCCUCCCCAGAGUGGAAUGUCUGCUUCCGCGGUUGCUCUGACACUCUCAGAGCAGAGAUCUGCUGUAAGUCACCAGACAGCGACCCUCGAGAGAAGGCUGGUGCAGUUGCCUGCAGGAGACGGGAGCUGCCAGGUGCGUCCUUGCUAAUGGCAUGGACAGCUCACCCAGCAGGGACCCAGGUCCCCCAUCUCUGUCUCCAUGACCCCCUUCAUCCCUCCCCCAAGCCUGGCUUCCCAGCCCCUUCCCAGUGUUUCUCCCAUUGGUGUCAAGGCCAGCCUGCUCCAGAACACCGUGGUCUAGACGGGAAGGGGGACGCCUGAGUCACGGAGAAGGAUCAGCUUUGCUCAGAGAAGGCUGAUCCUGUGCUGCCCUGGGGUCUCUCGGGGUCUCUCCAGGUAGGGAAGCUCUGGCCUAGGUCCAGUGCUGAAGGCAGGAGCAGGGGCUCUGUCAGGAGGCUUCGGGACGCGGGGCAUUUGGAAGGUAGCCCCCAUCCCCACUGUUGUGCCCAGGGACCCAGCCUGUUCCCCUGGAGUCAGGAUCUAAUGCUUCCUGAGAAUUCCCACUGACUCCAGUGUUGGUUUGAAAUAGAGGCAACAAGAGAAGGAAAACAAGCGCCGCUGAAUUUUGGGUCCUGCCCAGAUCCCACCACUCACUCAGGCUGUGGAUAUUUCCCACGUGUCAGAAAAGGUAGCUGUUGUUGAAUUGAGUAAUGAGACAGGAAGAGCCCCACCCCACAGAAAAAUGAAGAGAAGAACCCUGCACCCCAGUGUGGUUGAAGGCAGAGGACUGCACACAGCCCCGCCUUGUCUGAGGCUCACCUCUGCUCAGGCGUGAGGCUUAGAGAAUGUGUCCCUGAGCGGGCCCAGGACCUCCUCUCAGAGCUGUGGGACGGGCACAGGCGGUUAUUGACUUGAGCGGAGGGGGCAGAGGGACCCUGAUGGGAAGGCUACUCUGCCGCCAUCUCGCCUGUCAGCCCCCACCCCUCCUGGCCUCUUGGCUCAUCUGCCUGCUCUGUGGUUUCCUCUUUCCCACCUGCCAUCUUUCACUAUAAGUAUGCGCCCCACACACACCUCGUGCAGUUUCUCCUGAGCCCACUGGAAGUCCAAUAUUAGGUGGUUCCCCUUUCCUCUAUGGAGGUUGAAUAACUUUCAGAAUUUUUCCUAUUCCCAUGACGAUAGUAACAAAACACACCUUUGGAAAAUGCAAUCCAGGGACCCAGUGCCACUGUCUUCAGAGCACAGGGUGACAGAUGUUCACACUGAACACACUUGGAAGCCACCAGCCGUGUCACAGACUGGUUUUCCCCAACCCUGGUUGCCUCCUUGGUGUUCCCUGCAGCCACUUGUCACUAGGCCCAGCUCUCUGAGCCUCCGCAGGUGACCUCUCUUGACCUCUAGCAGCACUGGUUAUCCCCAGAGGCACAGUUUUAUGCCUUUCUUGUGUUGUCAUUUUCCCUUCACAUUAACCCUCUAAGACCAAUGUGAUGGUGGUUCCCACACUACAGAGGAGGAUAGGAGAGAACUCAGGGCGAUGACUUGGGACAAGGUGGGUGAGGGUCCAACAGGGACCCCACCACAGUGCCAAUUUCUUCACCUACUAACUCUGCUGGGGAACGUAGCCUGGCAGCCUGGACACCAGGCCUGUUCAGUGCAGGAGAGGCGCUGAAAUCCGGCAGCGACCUGCAGCAGUCCUGGGGGUGGUUCACACACACUUUUGAGCUCUCUCCUCUCUGGGUGGUUUGGAUUCUUGGCAGGUAUGAGGCUCUGAGCAAGGAAGGGAGUUGCCUAAGCCCACUGCGGCCAGGUGGCACAGUCAGAUUUGAGUCCAGGCCAGGUCAGCGACCAUUGUUUUCUUUUCCAUUUGAUGAAGGAAAGCAGGAAAUGUGGCCAGGUUGGGUUACAUGAGUCUCAUCACCUCCUUCCGGAAGUGUUGCAUCUGUACGUGGUUGGGAUGAAUUUGAAUGAAGUCACAGAGGAAGCUGUGUCUCUCUGCAUAUUAGAUGCUCUCUGAACCCUGUAAUCCUUCACCUUUGCUUAUCCCUUUUGGAGGAAAUGGAAAGGUUACCUGUGAUAUGUUUAUUAUUAUUUGAAUUACUAUAUACAUAUGCACUACAGUUGUAAAAUACUAUGUAUAUUAGUUAUAUGCUAAUAAAAAUGUUAAGGUGAUCUGCAAUAAAACAC